rnacentral:rRNA from 1 species
AUUGAACGCUGGCGGCAGGCCUAACACAUGCAAGUCGAACGAGUGGCGGACGGGUGAGUAAUGUCUGGGAAACUGCCUGAUGGAGGGGGAUAACUACUGGAAACGGUCGCUAAUACCGCAUACCAUCAGAUGUGCCCAGAUGGGCUUGGCUAGUUGGUGGGGUAACGGCGCACCAAGGCGACGAUCCCUAGCUGGUCUGAGAGGAUGACCAGUCGCACUGGAACUGAGACACGGUCACGGGUCCUACGGUAGGCGGCGGUGGGAACGAUGGGAAAAUGGGGGAAAGCCUGAUGCAGCCAUUCGGGGUGUCUGACGAAGGCCUGGGGGAGGUAGAGUACUUUAAGCGGGUAGGCGGUUCCCGCAGAAAAGGCGCCGGCUAACUACGUGCCAGCAGCCGCGGUAAUAC